AUUUCGUCUCUGUUCCUCCCUUCCAAAAACCCAUUUCUAGGGUUCCCAAAAAAUCCACUCUAGUAGCAAAACCAAAGAAAUCUUCCAAAAUCAUCCAUCAAAGAUGCAAGUUAGUGGAGUUAUUUUGAGUGGGUUAUGAUGAAAUCAACGAAUUGAAUCAUUGAAAUCAACGAAUUCAAUCAUCGGAAUCGUGUUCAGUUGUGAGCUGUGCACCUCGACACUUAUCAGCUUCCAAGCUUGCACAAUAUGAGUACCAAGCAGAAACAAUCCAAAAUUUCUUUUGGUGGUAGUUGAUCCAACUUGGGAAUACUGUAAGAUAGUAAUCCCCGGUAAUAAAAAAAUUUUAACUUGCAAUUUUUGUGGUAACAAAUAUCAUGGAGGUAUGUAUAGAAUUAAACACCAUCUUGCACAAACUAGGAAUAACGUGGCUAUUUGUAAGGAGGUUACUCCAGAAGUAAAACAGUUCUUUAUUGCCUAUAUUCAAAAGCUUGAGAAUGAUAAAGAGAAGUGUGAAGAAUCAGGUGAUCAGAAUGGCGACGAAGAUGAGUUAGGGACAAGAGAAAAGUUGAUGAGAGAUGCUCUAAAGGGAACUAAGACACCUAACACACUGAGUACCUACUUCAAGAAGCCUGAGAGAGAUGAUGCUUGUAAGGCUAUAUGUGAUUUUUUUAUGCGAAUGCCGUGCCAUUUAAUGUAGUAACAACAAGUAUUUUAACCAUAGAUUCUAUAUCACUUUGAGUCAGUGACACUUAAACAUUUAUUUAUGAAGCGUAUAUAUAUAUAUAUGUAUGUUAUUUGUUUUUA